UACGUAGGGGGCUAGCGUUGUCCGGAAUCAUUGGGCGUAAAGAGCGUGUAGGCGGUCCGGUAAGUCCGCUGUGAAAGUCGGGGGCUCAACCCUCGAAUGCCGGUGGAUACUGUCGGGCUAGAGUGCGGAAGAGGCGAGUGGAAUUCCUGGUGUAGCGGUGAAAUGCGUAGAUAUCGUAAGGAAGACCAGUGGCGAAGGCGGGUCUCUGGACAGUUCCUGACGCUGAGGCACGAAGGCCAGGGGAGCAAACGGG
rnacentral:rRNA from 1 species